GCCGGAGGGAAACCGAGUCUUAACCGGGCGUUAAGUUGCAGGGUAUAGACCCGAAACCCGGUGAUCUAGCCAUGGGCAGGUUGAAGGUUGGGUAACACUAACUGGAGGACCGAACCGACUAAUGUUGAAAAAUUAGCGGAUGACCUGUGGCUGGGGGUGAAAGGCCAAUCAAACCGGGAGAUAGCUGGUUCUCCCCGAAAGCUAUUUAGGUAGCGCCUCGUGAAUUCAUCUCCGGGGGUAGAGCACUGUUUCGGCUAGGGGGCCAUCCCGGCUUACCAACCCGAUGCAAACUGCGAAUACCGGAGAAUGUUAUCACGGGAGACACACGGCGGGUGCUAACGUCCGUCGUGAAGAGGGAAACAACCCAGACCGCCAGCUAAGGUCCCAAAGUCAUGGUUAAGUGGGAAACGAUGUGGGAAGGCCCAGACAGCCAGGAUGUUGGCUUAGAAGCAGCCAUCAUUUAAAGAAAGCGUAAUAGCUCACUGGUCGAGUCGGCCUGCGCGGAAGAUGUAACGGGGCUAAACCAUGCACCGAAGCUGCGGCAGCGACACUGUGUGUUGUUGGGUAGGGGAGCGUUCUGUAAGCCUGCGAAGGUGGCCUGUGAGGGUUGCUGGAGGUAUCAGAAGUGCGAAUGCUGACAUAAGUAACGAUAAAGCGGGUGAAAAGCCCGCUCGCCGGAAGACCAAGGGUUCCUGUCCAACGUUAAUCGGGGCAGGGUGAGUCGACCCCUAAGGCGAGGCCGAAAGGCGUAGUCGAUGGGAAACGGGUUAAUAUUCCCGUACUUGGUGUUACUGCGAAGGGGGGACGGAGAAGGCUAUGUUGGCCGGGCGACGGUUGUCCCGGUUUAAGCGUGUAGGUGUGUGUUCCAGGUAAAUCCGGUUCACUUUAACACUGAGGCGUGACGACGAGGCACUACGGUGCUGAAGCAACAAAUGCCCUGCUUCCAGGAAAAGCCUCUAAGCAUCAGGUAACAUCAAAUCGUACCCCAAACCGACACAGGUGGUCAGGUAGAGAAUACCAAGGCGCUUGAGAGAACUCGGGUGAAGGAACUAGGCAAAAUGGUGCCGUAACUUCGGGAGAAGGCACGCUGACACGUAGGUGAAGUGAUUUACUCAUGGAGCUGAAGUCAGUCGAAGAUACCAGCUGGCUGCAACUGUUUAUUAAAAACACAGCACUGUGCAAACACGAAAGUGGACGUAUACGGUGUGACGCCUGCCCGGUGCCGGAAGGUUAAUUGAUGGGGUCAGCGCAAGCGAAGCUCCUGAUCGAAGCCCCGGUAAACGGCGGCCGUAACUAUAACGGUCCUAAGGUAGCGAAAUUCCUUGUCGGGUAAGUUCCGACCUGCACGAAUGGCGUAAUGAUGGCCAGGCUGUCUCCACCCGAGACUCAGUGAAAUUGAACUCGCUGUGAAGAUGCAGUGUACCCGCGGCAAGACGGAAAGACCCCGUGAACCUUUACUAUAGCUUGACACUGAACAUUGAGCCUUGAUGUGUAGGAUAGGUGGGAGGCUUUGAAGUGUGGACGCCAGUCUGCAUGGAGCCGACCUUGAAAUACCACCCUUUAAUGUUUGAUGUUCUAACGUGGACCCGUUACCCGGGUUGCGGACAGUGUCUGGUGGGUAGUUUGACUGGGGCGGUCUCCUCCUAAAGAGUAACGGAGGAGCACGAAGGUUGGCUAAUCCUGGUCGGACAUCAGGAGGUUAGUGCAAUGGCAUAAGCCAGCUUGACUGCGAGCGUGACGGCGCGAGCAGGUGCGAAAGCAGGUCAUAGUGAUCCGGUGGUUCUGAAUGGAAGGGCCAUCGCUCAACGGAUAAAAGGUACUCCGGGGAUAACAGGCUGAUACCGCCCAAGAGUUCAUAUCGACGGCGGUGUUUGGCACCUCGAUGUCGGCUCAUCACAUCCUGGGGCUGAAGUAGGUCCCAAGGGUAUGGCUGUUCGCCAUUUAAAGUGGUACGCGAGCUGGGUUUAGAACGUCGUGAGACAGUUCGGUCCCUAUCUGCCGUGGGCGCUGGAGAACUGAGGGGGGCUGCUCCUAGUACGAGAGGACCGGAGUGGACGCAUCACUGGUGUUCGGGUUGUCAUGCCAAUGGCACUGCCCGGUAGCUAAAUGCGGAAGAGAUAAGUGCUGAAAGCAUCUAAGCACGAAACUUGCCCCGA
rnacentral:rRNA from 1 species